GAUAAACGCUGGCGGCGUGCAUAACACAUGCAAGUCGAACGAUGAACCUUAAUUGAUUUCUUCGGAAUGAAAAUAAGUGGAUUAGUGGCGAACGGGUGAGUAACACGUGAGUAACCUGCCUUACACAAGGGGAUAGCCUUUGGAAACGAAGAAUAAUACCCUAUAAAGUCAAAAUAUCGCAUGAUAAAGUGACCAAAGAUUUAUCGGUGUAAGAUGGACUUGCGUCUGAUUAGCUAGUUGGUGAGAUAAAAGCCCACCAAGGCGACGAUCAGUAGCCGGCUUGAGAGAGUGUACGGCCACAUUGGGACUGAGACACGGCCCAAACUCCUACGGGAGGCAGCAGUGGGGAAUUUUGCACAAUGGGGGAAACCCUGAUGCAGCGACGCCGCGUGAUUUAGAAGGCCUUCGGGUUGUAAAAAUCUUUUUUAUGGGAUGAAAAUGACAGUACCAUAAGAAUAAGGUCCGGCUAAAUACGUGCCAGCAGCCGCGGUAAUACGUAUGGACCGAGCGUUGUCCGGAAUCAUUGGGCGUAAAGGGUACGUAGGCGGCCUAGUAAGUUAGAAGUGAAAUAAUAUAGCUCAACUAUAUAAAGCUUUUAAAACUGUUAGGCUUGAGAGAUGAAAGGGAAAGUGGAAUUCCUAGUGUAGCGGUGAAAUGCGCAGAUAUUAGGAAGAAUACCGGUGGCGAAGGCGACUUUCUGGUCAUCAUCUGACGCUGAGGUACGAAAGCGUGGGUAGCAAACAGG
rnacentral:rRNA from 1 species